GAUCCUGGCUUAGGAUGAACGCUGGCGGCGUGCCUAACACAUGCAAGUCGAGCGAUUACUUCGGUAAAGAGCGGCGGACGGGUGAGUAACGCGUGGGUAACCUGCCUCAUACACAUGGAUAACAUACCGAAAGGUAUGCUAAUACAGGAUAAUAUAAGAGAUUCACAUGGAUUUCUUAUCAAAGCUCCGGCGGUAUGAGAUGGACCCGCGUCUGAUUAGCUAGUUGGUAAGGUAGUGGCUUACCAAGGCGACGAUCAGUAGCCGACCUGAGAGGGUGAUCGGCCACAUUGGAACUGAGACACGGUCCAAACUCCUACGGGAGGCAGCAGUGGGGAAUAUUGCACAAUGGGCGAAAGCCUGAUGCCAGCAACGCCGCGUGAGUGAUGAAGGCCUUCGGGUCGUAAAACUCUGUCCUCAAGGAAGAUAAUGACGGUACUUGAGGAGGAAGCCCCGGCUAACUACGUGCCAGCAGCCGC
rnacentral:rRNA from 1 species